GAUGAACGCUGGCGGCGUGCUUAACACAUGCAAGUCGAACGGAAAGGCUCCUGCUUGCAGGGGUACUCGAGUGGCGAACGGGUGAGUAACACGUGGGUGAUCUGCCCUGCACUUCGGGAUAAGCCUGGGAAACUGGGUCUAAUACCGGAUAGGACCACAUUUUGGAUGGUGUGGUGGAAAGUUUUUCGGUGUGGGAUGAGCUCGCGGCCUAUCAGCUUGUUGGUGGGGUAAUGGCCUACCAAGGCGUCGACGGGUAGCCGGCCUGAGAGGGUGUACGGCCACAUUGGGACUGAGAUACGGCCCAGACUCCUACGGGAGGCAGCAGUGGGGAAUAUUGCACAAUGGGCGCAAGCCUGAUGCAGCGACGCCGCGUGGGGGAUGACGGCCUUCGGGUUGUAAACUCCUUUCGCUAGGGACGAAGCGCAAGUGACGGUGCCUGGAGAAGAAGCACCGGCUAACUACGUG
rnacentral:rRNA from 1 species